rnacentral:lncRNA from 10 species
AGCACAUGAAGCAUUUCACUGCAGAAAUUAUUGACAGUCUUCUCUGUGCACAUCACCAUCCAUUAACUGGGGUUCUGGGAUAUACAGCAGCUCAACAUACAGGUUAAUACUUGGUAAAUUACAUCCUUUCCAAAAAGCAAGUCAUGCCAGACUGCACAGAGAAAAGGAAAGACACCAUGAAGAGAGGUCAGUAGUGGACGGCUCAUAGCCCUGAAAGUCCCAGUUCAAGCUUCCACAAUCAUCCUACACAAGAGCACUGCUUCUCACAGGACUGCCUCAGCCUGGCAGGAUUCAGUCUCCUGCUCUGAGGGAAAAACAGGAAGUCAAGGAUCAAGACCGAGUGCUCAACUGAGAUCAGAAAGGAGGACACACAGUGACUUGGCCAAAUCACUGGAGAUUCACACAGCAGAGCUCAGACGAGUGCUAUCAGCACAGCUGAGGAAGACAACAGUUAGGGGAAUCAGUGAAGUGAGCUCCCAGCUACCGCCUCGAGAGGCUGCUAUUGACAAUCUCCUGUCUGGCCAAACAACUUCCUUUCUACAACUUUGCCUGGGCGAAUGGCAGUAGGAAAACACCACCAACAAAUUGGAAAUUGCCACAUCAUUCACAUCGGUUUUCCUCUACUGAAUCCAAUCCCUGCUUUCAAGAAGAAAGAAGUGGUAGUACAAUACAAUCUCAGCAUUCUGUAAUCUGGCUUGAAUGUGACUGUGCAAGGAUCCUGAAAGAGAAACAUUGGUUGUGUUUUUAUUCCUUGGGUAUAAGAAUCCUGAAAGAGAAAGGCAUCUGAACCUUGGAGGCAUGGGGUUCAUCUCAUCCUCAUCCAGCCUGUGAUGAUGGAGCUGUUUUCACCAGAAACGUGAGGAGACUCAUACCACUUGAGUUCUGCUUAAAUUCAGCAUCUUCUCUCAGUUCAAAUUUAAGAAAGGAGAUACCACACCACCCACCGACAUAUCCC